rnacentral:lncRNA from 1 species
UGUGGAAUGGUGCAGUGAAAGUACAUCUCUUGGGGCACUAAGAGGUGGUUCUGCAACUGUGAGGAGAAAUGAGAAAGGAACAACACAGCCAGCAGUUCUCUUGGCAAACCUCAGUUUUAACUAGAGUGUUUGCUAUGCCAGAGGCAAGGUGGCAAUCACACCAUUUCCUUACCUCGCAGGGGUGUGAGCUGUCAAAGUGCUUUAUAAAAAGCAGCUCAGCUAAGCAACUCUCACCCUCUACAAUUUGGUUUUGUUUGCUUCCCAACCUGGAAAUGGGCAUCUCUUGUCUUUAUUUAAUUUCCAAGUCAAGUCUGAAAAGAAAAAUGCUUGUAGAAAAAUCCUGUAAUUACCAGAUCUGAUUUUCAUUUUAACCUUUGCUUCAUUCAUAUGGUACCAACAACUUCAGAAAUUCAAUUAAACUAAUGUAAUUACAAUUUAUAUGGAAGAGUGAGUGGGAAAGUCUUUAAGUGGGCACAUGUAUGAUAGACUGUAUGUCCAUAAGAGAAAAAAAUGUACUUACAGGAUCAAUACAGAGUCAUAGGAACGGUAAUAUAUGAACCAGCUUUCCUGAAGAACCCAGCCUCCAUUUGGGCAUUAAAAUAAGUGGCUAGAUUUUCAAAACUCCCUAGCUUCCACCAUGCUGAGCAAUUUUGAUUAUCUGGCCAUAAAAAUGUCUCAGUGAGAACUGCUGGGUGCCAAGCACUUUUGGAAAUCUGGGCUCAAUUGUGGGCUCUGAGCAUUUGAGAAACCACUAGCUCCAAAUGUAAAUAGUGGUUGUAUAAAGCAACGGGCGAAUGUCAUAUAAGAAGCAUAUAUGUGUCUGAAAGUAUGUGUAUUUUCUUAGCUUCCCUUAAACAUCUAAUCUGCAUCCUACUCCUGCAUGUUACCAUGCAAAAAGACACAAUCAUGUUGCAAGUCUUUCUUCUGAAAUGAAAACAAACCUCAACAUUUAACUAUGUCCUAAAUAAGUUCUGCUUCAAUGCAUAAUCUCACAGGAAAACUAUGAGGAUCCUCCUUAAUUUUCUGUAUUCAUCCAAAUUAUGCAGGAUGGUACCAACAGAGGAUAAACUUACUUACCAUUGCAGGAGGAGUCAAAAAGUCAUUAAGAGCUAGAGUAUGAUAGACAAGUUCAUCACACAUCUGAAAGAGACACUUCCUUUUCAAUCCCACCAGAAAAAGCAAAUACACAAAGUAAAUUAUAUGAUUGGAAACAACAAACACUGAAGUCUAACACACUAGUGAGUGCAUGUUUAUGAGCCAAGCAAGACCUGCACCACUGCUCUUUUUAGCCACCAUAAGCCUGUGUGGAUUGUCUUUGCAGUUACCUGGUUGCCUAAGACACCAGCUCACCACAGCUCAACUUCUCUGGACAGGUCUGGUAAAGCCAACUUCUUCAGCAGUGACAUUUAAAACUUGUCAGUCAUCACUCCUUUGUUCGGAGCUAUUUAAUCAAAAUGGAACAGA